rnacentral:lncRNA from 1 species
CAUGAAACAAUUUUCCUUUAUUGAAGGACAUGGUUUUUAUGUGGCCAGCCCGCAUAUUGUAGAAAUACGGGCUUGGCAAUAAAUAUAUUUUUAAAUAUAAUUUGAUCUUAGUUUUUAGUGAAUAUAAAAUCUUUAACAUGGAGAUCAUGAAUAUUAAAAAAAAAUUUGAAAAAUAGAAAUAAUAAUUAUAUUAAAAAAACAUUUGGACUGUUAAUUACAUUUGUUUUUAGAUGAACCACCUAUUUGCAUCCAUCUCUAAGAUGGAUGCUUUUUACCUAUGGACGGCAUAUUGUAGAAAUGUGAUCCAGCCCGCAUGAAACAAUUUUCUUUUAUUUAAGGGUGAGGUUUAUAUAGGGCCUGAUUGAUAACUGGAAGCAAGUUCAUGAACUGUAAAUUAGAAAUUCCUCUUUGCUGGGAAGAUAGAAGUUACUUUAAGAAGUCCACAGUUUCUGUGUUUGAUAACCUCCUGAGAAGUUAAAGAACUACUUGGUUUCUGUGUUUGAUAACCAUUGGGAAGUUAGAAAAGUUCCUGGUUUCUGUGUUUGAUAACCACUUAGGAAGUUAAAGAAGUUCUUGGUUUCUGUGUUUGAUAACCAUAAUUAUCUACUCAUGGAAAAAAAAAAAACUAAUAUUCCCAUAGUUAUCUACUCAUGGAAAAAAUUCCCACACCAGAUGUAUUGACAAAGUCCUAUAGCAUUUUAUCAACAAAAAAGGAAAAAGGGACGACACCACAUGUAAAGCAAUUUCUAAAAAAAAAAAAAAAGUAAAGCAAUUUCAAUAAAUAAUGAGAACAAAUAAAACCAUUGAGUGAAGAACAAAUUCAAGAAUAGAAACAAACAAGCUAGUAAGCAAUAGAAACUAAACUUCACAAGUUUUCAAACACCUAAGAAAGAGAGGAGCCCAUUAAUCUACGUUAUUCAAAGAAAUGCAGCAACCUUGAUUUAUACACAACCCAUUAUGUAAAGGAAGAAGAUAUCCAAAGAAACCCAAUUACUAGUGCCAUAAUGCAGCAGUUUAUCAAGCAAAUUUUACGAUGCAAUUUUUUAUCAAGUUAUUUGCUUUGCAACAGGAUACACUUCAAACUCUCUCUCACUAGGGUUAUACGUGGUUCAAAAUACAUGAAUACUAAGUUACAAGCAAUUACAUAACAUUGUGAUAUGUUAGACACGAUUUGAAAACCAUUACUAUUACAUUUUUCAACAACAAAAGCAUUU